AGGUCCUGCCUGCCCAGUGACUAUGUUAAACGGCCGCGGUAUUUUGACCGUGCAAAGGUAGCGCAAUCACUUGUCUUUUAAAUGAAGACCUGUAUGAAUGGUGGAACGAGGGCCUAACUGUCUCCCCUUUCAAGUCAAUGAAAUUGAUCUGCCCGUGCAGAAGCGGGUAUAUAACUACAAGACGAGAAGACCCUUUGGAGCUUAAGAUUAAAAAUCAACUAUGUCAAAUAUUUAUUAAAUAGAACCAAAUAGCAACUGAUUGUAAUCUUCGGUUGGGGCGACCACGGAAUAAAAAUAAACUUCCACACGGACUGAGGACUAACCUUAAAACCAAGAAAGACACUUCUAAGACACAGAAUUUCUGACCAAAUAGAUCCGGCAAAUUGCCGAUCAAUGGACCAAGUUACCCUAGGGAUAACAGCGCAAUCCCCUUUUAGAGUUCCUAUCGACAAGGGGGUUUACGACCUCGAUGUUGGAUCAGGAC
rnacentral:rRNA from 1 species